rnacentral:rRNA from 1 species
GAUGAACGCUAGCGGCAGGCUUAAUACAUGCAAGUCGAACGGGAUCCGAGGUAGCAAUACUUUGGUGAGAGUGGCGCACGGGUGCGUAACGCGUAUGCAACCUACCUUUAACUGGGACACAACCCGCCGAAAGGCUGGCUAAUAUCCCAUAACAUUGCGAUGUGGCAUCACAUUGCAAUUAAAGCUCCGGCGGUUAUAGAUGGGCAUGCGUGACAUUAGCUAGUUGGUAAGGUAACGGCUUACCAAGGCUUCGAUGUCUAGGGGUUCUGAGAGGAUUAUCCCCCACACUGGUACUGAGACACGGACCAGACUCCUACGGGAGGCAGCAG